rnacentral:rRNA from 1 species
CCUACGGGAGGCAGCAGUGGGGAAUAUUGGACAAUGGGCGAAAGCCUGAUCCAGCCAUGCCGCGUGUGUGAAGAAGGUCUUCGGAUUGUAAAGCACUUUAAGUUGGGAGGAAGGGCAUUAACCUAAUACGUUGGUGUCUUGACGUUACCGACAGAAUAAGCACCGGCUAACUCUGUGCCAGCAGCCGCGGUAAUACAGAGGGUGCAA